CAGAUAUAUGAACUCUUUUGGAUGAAUGUGAUACUCUAGGUAAUGAUCCCAGAGACUUCUACAGUGGUUAUUUUAGUGGUUUCUUUGAAGUCUUAAGAGGAGGUCGUAGCAAUAUGUAAGUGAAAGCGUGUCAAAUUGGUAGAAGCUAAAAAAGGUUGGGUUUCUGAGUGAUGUCCUCUCAUUUGAAGAAACCUUGAGCAACUCUUUAGCCAGCACCUGCUGUGCUGCCAAGCUGAACCUCAGAUAACAUGGUGAUGUUCCUGAUUCAUAUGAUCAAGGUCCUACCACCCACAAGUACAUUUCUAGGCUUAACCUUUUAAAUACCUUUGUCAUUUCCUUCCUUCUAAAGCAAUUGUGCAGACAGUGCAAUUUACUGAAUGUUGAGACAGCACAAAAUAUUUGCUCUUUUCACUAAUUUUUCUUUUCUCUCUCUUUUCAACACACUAAACCUUUUCCAAAGGUUCCAGAGGAGGAGUCAAAGCGGCUGUAAUUUUGAUUCAGUUUUAUGGGCAAUAGAAUUAUUUUACCGAUUCCUGGAAUCAUGGCUCCUAUACAUCUGCUCUCUAUGAGCACUUUGGAAAUUAAAGGAUUGCCAGCUUUUCCACUUUGGGACAAAAAACAUUUGUGCUAAACAGCCGACUUUGAACUAACCUUAUUCUCCAACGUCAGUCAAAAUAAUUUUCUCAAUUAAGGUCUGUCAACUAAACACGCAAAAAAUGACCUUCAUGGGAUAGUCCUCAGGAAAAGCUAAUAAAUGAUUGCAAAAUGAGGCAAGGAAAAGCACUUGAGAUGGGGUCCUCACUCUGUCACACAGCCUGGAGUGUAGUGGAA